GAUGAACGCUGGCGGCGUGCCUAAUACAUGCAAGUCGAGCGAACGGACGAGAAGCUUGCUUUUCUGAUGUUAGCGGCGGACGGGUGAGUAACACGUGCAUAACCUACCUAUAAGACUGGGAUAACUUCGGGAACCCGGAUCUAAUACCGGAUAAUAUUUUGAACCGCAUGGUUCAUCAGUGCAAGACGGUCUUGCUGUCACUUAUUGAUGGAUCCGCGCUGCAUUAGCUAGUUGGUAAGGUAACGGCUUACCAAGGCAACGAUGCAUAGCCGACCUGAGAGGGUGAUCGGCCACACUGGAACUGAGACACGGUCCAGACUCCUACGGGAGGCAGCAGUAGGGAAUCUUCCACAAUGGGCGAAAGCCUGACGGAGCAACGCCGCGUGAGUGAUGAAGGUCUUCGGAUCGUAAAACUCUGUUAUUAGGGAAGAAAAUAUGUGUAAGAAACUGUGCACAUCUUGACGGUACCUAAUCAGAAAGCAACGGCUAACUACGUG
rnacentral:rRNA from 1 species